rnacentral:rRNA from 1 species
GACAGAGGGUGCAAACGUUGUUCGGAAUUACUGGGCGUAAAGCGCGUGUAGGCGGCAUGGCAAGUCGGGUGUGAAAGCCCUCAGCUUAACUGAGGAAGUGCGCCCGAAACUGCUGUGCUUGAGUACCGGAGAGGAUGGCGGAAUGCCCCAAGUAGAGGUGAAAUUCGUAGAUAUGGGGCGGAACACCGGUGGCGAAGGCGGCCAUCUGGACGGAUACUGACGCUGAGACGCGAAAGCGUGGGUAGCAAACAGG